CCUACGGGAGGCAGCAGUGGGGGAUAUUGCACAAUGGGGGGAACCCUGAUGCAGCGACGCCGCGUGGGUGAAGGAGUGCUUCGGCAUGUAAAGCCCUAUCGGCAGGGAAGAAGCAAGACGGUACCUGACUAAGAAGCCCCGGCUAACUACGUGCCAGCAGCCGCGGUAAUACGUAGGGGGCGAGCGUUCUCCGGAUUCACUGGGUGUAAAGGGCGCGUAGACGGCCAAGCAAGCUAGGGGUGAAAGCCCGGGGCCCAACCCCGGGACUGCCCUUGGAACUGCAUGGCUGGAGUGCGGGAGGGGCAGGCGGAAUGCCUGGUGUAGCGGUGAAAGGCGUAGAUAUCAGGAGGAACACCAGUGGCGAAGGCGGCCGCCUGGCCUGUUGCUGACGCUGAGGCACGAAAGCGUGGGGAGCAAAUAGGAUUAGAUACUCGGGUAGUC
rnacentral:rRNA from 1 species